UACAGAGGGGGCUAGCGUUGUUCGGAAUUACUGGGCGUAAAGGGCGCGUAGGUGGCCUGUUAAGUCGAACGUGAAAUCCCCGGGCUCAACCCGGGAACCGCGUCCGAGACUGGCAGGCUCGAAUCCGGGAGAGGGAUGUGGAAUUCCAGGUGUAGCGGUGAAAUGCGUAGAUAUCUGGAGGAAUACCGGUGGCGAAGGCGGCAUCCUGGACCAUAACUGACGCUGAGGCGCGAAAGCUAGGGGAGCAAACGGG
rnacentral:rRNA from 1 species